GACGAACGCUGGCGGCGUGCUUAACACAUGCAAGUCGAACGGAAAGGCCCUGCUUUUGUGGGGUGCUCGAGUGGCGAACGGGUGAGUAACACGUGAGUAACCUGCCCUUGACUGUGGGAUAACUUCAGGAAACUGGGGAUAAUAACGGAUAGGAGCUCCUGCUGCAGGGUGGGGGGUGGAAAGUUUCGGCGGUUGGGGAUGGACGCGCGGCUCAUCAGCUUGUUGGUGGGGUAGAGGCUUACCAAGGCUUUGACGGGUAGCCGGCGUGAGAGGGUGACCGGCCACAUUGCUACUGAGAUACGGCCCAGCCUCCUACUGGAGACAGCAGUGGGGAAUAUUGCACAAUCAGCGGAAGCCUGAUGCAGCAGCGCCGCGUUCGUGAUGACGGCCUUCGGGUUAUGAACCGCUUCCGCCUGUUACGAAGCGUGAGUGACGGUAAUGGGUAAAGAAGCACCGGCUAACUACGUG
rnacentral:rRNA from 1 species